UAAACGGACCGGUAUGAGUGAGACAUG
rnacentral:sRNA from 1 species